GUGGGAAUAGCUCAGUGGUAGAGCAGCAGAUUGCAAUCACGUGAUUCAAGCGCAGAAAGCAAUCAAAUCUGUUGGUCGUGAGUUCAAACCUCACUUCUCACU
rfam:Cryptococcus dejecticola CBS 10117 unplaced genomic scaffold supercont1.6, whole genome shotgun sequence.